GACAGUUUGGCCGAGUGGUUAAGGCGGCAGACUCGAAUUGGCCUUUUCCCAAGGCCUCGCUCGUCAUCUGCUGGGUUCGCCCGCACAGGUUCAAAUCCUGUAGCUGUCG
rnacentral:tRNA from 1 species